rnacentral:pre_miRNA from 1 species
AAAAAGACAAACCCUGGGUUUCCGUGUUCAACGUUUGACUGUAUGUCUUAUAUAAAUUUUUUUUAUAAUUAGUAUUUUUAUUGUUGUUAGAUGAUAAAACAUAAUUAAUACUUUAUGCGUGACUUAUUUUUUUAAUUUGUUUUAUAUUUUUUUCAAAUAAGACGGGUGGUCAAAUGUUGGACACGGAAACCUAGG